AUUUGAGCUCACGCACAAAAACCGCUAGAGGUCGCGUGCGUCUCUAUAUCACAUGUCACCUGUGACAGCAGUGUGGAUGCAGGAGCAGGCAGUGCAGUCCAUUGUGGGUGCUGAUGGGUUGAACUGCUUAAUUAAUAAUGCAGCGAUUAACAUGACGACUGAACUGGACACAGUCACUCGAGGUGCCAUGAUGAAAACCUAGGAGAGUAACACAUGACUCCUUUCUUUAGGCAAUAUAACUGGAUUUAUUACCAUCCACAGGCAACUAUAAUGUAACGAUCUAAUACAUUUUCAGUAUAUACAUACUCAACAUUGAUUUUUGACAUAUUCAAGAGUGCCUUGAGGUGUUUGGCUACCGAUCUGGAAACUGAUGAGAUCUUGUGUGUCGCCCUUCACCCUGGUUGGUUUGUGCCAGACCAACGGCUCCUUUGAGCCCAGACGAGAGCAUGUCAUCAGUGUUCUCUGUCAUUUCUGGAUAAACGGAGAAACAUCAUGGUGGAUAUGUGGACUACACCGGGAAAAGCUUAUCUCCAUAUUGUGUGUCACAUUGUCCGAGUGCCAGAUGACCGCUGAGAAGCUAAGACCAGAAGAACAGCCUGCGGUAUUAAUUAUUCAUGUUUCCACCUGUAUGCACAAAUCAAGAAGUAAAAUAGAGAAGUACCCUUAGGUCUUAGGAAAAUUGAAUUGUUAUGAAAGGUUACAUGGGUGUGUUUAUACUUUGCAAAUAAAAAAGUAACAGUC